AUUGAACGCUGGCGGCAUGCCUUACACAUGCAAGUCGAACGGUAACAGGUCUUCGGAUGCUGACGAGUGGCGAACGGGUGAGUAAUACAUCGGAACGUGCCUAGUAGUGGGGGAUAACUACUCGAAAGAGUGGCUAAUACCGCAUGAGAUCUACGGAUGAAAGCAGGGGAUCGCAAGACCUUGUGCUACUAGAGCGGCCGAUGGCAGAUUAGGUAGUUGGUGGGAUAAAAGCUUACCAAGCCGACGAUCUGUAGCUGGUCUGAGAGGACGAUCAGCCACACUGGGACUGAGAAGCGGCCAAGACUCCUACGGGAGGCAGCAGUGGGGAAUUUUGGACAAUGGGCGCAAGCCUGAUCCAGCAAUGCCGCGUGCAGGAUGAAGGCCUUCGGGUCGUAAACUGCUUUUGUACGGAACGAGAAGCCCCGGGUUAAUACCCUGGGGUCAUGACGGUACCGUAAGAAUAAGCACCGGCUGACUACGUGCCAGCCGCCGCCGUAA
rnacentral:rRNA from 1 species